rnacentral:rRNA from 1 species
GAUGAACGCUGGCGGCAUGCCUAAUACAUGCAAGUCGAACGAGAGGAAGGAAAGCUUGCUUUUCUGAAUCUAGUGGCGAACGGGUGAGUAACACGUAGGUAACCUGCCCAUGUGCCCGGGAUAACUUCUGGAAACGGAUGCUAAAACCGGAUAGGUAGCAGACAAGCAUUUGACUGCUAUUAAAGUGGCUAAGGCCAUGAACAUGGAUGGACCUGCGGUGCAUUAGCUAGUUGGUGAGGUAACGGCCCACCAAGGCGACGGUGCAUAGCCGGGCGGAGAGGGCGGACGGCCACAUUGGGACUGAGACACGGCCCAGACUCCUACGGGAGGCAGCAGUAGGGAAUUUUCGUCAAUGGGGGGAACCCUGAACGAGCAAUGCCGCGUGAGUGAGGAAGGUCUUCGGAUCGUAAAGCUCUGUUGUAAGAGAAAAACGACAUUCAUAGGGAAUGAUGAGUGAGUGAUGGUAUCUUACCAGAAAGUCACGGCUAACUACGUGCCAGCCGCCGCCGUAA